GUCCUGAUACCCAGGACACUCAUGAGUGUUGCAGGUAGUAAGGACCUGAGAGGCUUGACUUUCUGAUUUGACUAGCGACUCCGUUGUCUUUGCAAUGCCAAGGUCGCCUGGGUUAGGGUCCAGCCAGAAGGAUUUCCCCUGAGGCUCUUUGUCAAGGGGCAGAGGGUGGCAUCAGAGUCACAGGCCAGAAGCCAGUAGUUUUUCAGAGAUGAGCCUCUCCGGGGACUUGGAAUGUGGAGUCUGUGUUUGAGAAGGGUUGAGUCUGUUAAGGGUUGAAGAUGGUGUUUGCAUGUCUCUCCUGGGAUAUAUAUAGCUCAGGGAUCAUUAGGAGGUAAAUGUGGGACCUUCUAAAAAGAUGGUAAUCCAUGACUUAAGCGAAGCAAGCCACAAAACUCUAAACAAGUUAGAAACACGGCUGCCUUCACGUGGAAAACAAACAAACAAACAAACAAACAACUCAGACCCCAAAUGAAUCCAAAAGCUGGACAGAGUGCUCGGGAAGUAAAAACCAAAACUCCACAACUGCCAUACUUAAACGGUGACAUAGUAAAUGUUUUCCCAUGGAGGCCUGAGUAAGAGGAGACAUUAGCACUCAUUGGUUGUAUACAAUAUGGUGCUAGUCAGUGUCACAAGGCAAGAAAACAAUGAAAAGCAGUUCGAAGUAGGCAGUGGGCAGGGAGGCAAAACCUGUCAUUUAGAUAUGAUAUGUUUGAGUAUACAGGAAGUAAAGUACAAAGAUACAUUGUAGGUUGAUAAGUUUGUUAGUCACUGGGUAUACGGUUAAUAUCCAGAAAUAAAUUAUAUUUCUGUAUGCCAGCAAGAAAUAGAAAAUAAGCUUUUAAUAACAUAAAAACAAUUACUCUGACUAGAGGGCUGGCUCGUAGGUUGAAUGCACUUGCUGAUCUGGCUGAAGACCCUGGUUCAGUUCCCAGCACACACAUAAAGGUCCACAACCAACUGUAUCUCCAGUUCCAGUGGAUCUAGCACCUUCUUCUGUCUACUACUGGUAUUGCACACAUAGUGCACAUAAACUCACACAGGCUCACACCAUACACAUAAAUGUUAAGAAAAAAAUUUUAAAAAACACUCAAGAUUAUACUUUGUUUGGCUAUGGAAUCUAAAAUAGGUUUUCCCCCAUUGAGAGUGGAAGUGCAUGCCUUUAAUCCCAGGAUUCAGGAGACAGGUGCCGGUAGAUCUCUGUGUGUUUGAGGCCAGCCUGGUCCACAUAGUAAGUUCCAGACCAGACCAAAGCUUACACAGUGAGAAUUUGUCAAAAAACAAAAUAACAACAAAAACAGAAACAAAAACAAAACAAAAAACCUUUUUUUUGCCAAGUUAACUAGAAUAAAUUGAUACUUGACACAUCUCAACUUGUAUUUGUUUUGUUUUGUUUUUUCUUGGAGAGUAGUAAGAGGAUGAAACUUGGUAAGGUGCUGUUGAUACACAGGUGAAGUAAAAUGACUUUGGAAGACCUGUAUCCUAGUGUGGAGGAUACAAGGUAUCAAAGCAAAGCUAAAGUAAUUCAUCAGUGAAACAAACUGAAUCAUAGAGAUAUACUCUUUCUGGUUUAUCACCACCAAGGGACACUGCAGAGUAGUGGAGGAAAGACAGUCAUUUCCAAGAGCUCUGAUGGGUCAGCUCUCAAAAUUCUCUUGGCUUGACUUUACAAUGUACCCUACAAUCUAUCUGCAUUAGCUUCUCAUACUGCAACACCCGAGAACCAACUUAUAAAGUAUUUGUUUAUUUUACAAAUGUUUUGAUUAGCAUACAAAACAAUAGGUGAAGUGAGAAUUUCUAGUUUUGUUGGAGACUAAAUUGUGUCAUGUGAUGUUUCCUGGAAAGUGAUGUUUCCCUGGAAACUAGAGGAUGUUUUGCUGAGAACUGACACGUGGUGUUCUUCUGGAAGUUGCCUCGUGAAAGGACAUGAGAUGCUUUGCUAGAGUGGAUGCUUCAGAGGUCCAUGAUGUUUGGAAAGAGUGUAAGUAUAACUCAACAGACAGUGGGCGACACUCUGCCAUUUGUUCACCUUGCCACUCUUUGGUGGCCAUUGUUGGGCUUCGCUGAUGACAAUGUGGCAUUGGUUCGCCUUGCUUUCUUCAUCGAUCUUUGCUUGUAGUUACUUCACUGAGAGAAAAACACCGAAGAACUUCUGGUGGUGCUCUGGCUGGGCUUCCGCAGACUCGUGCUGAUCAGUGGUUUCUUUUGGAUCAAACCACUGCUACUGAUUUGUGUUUGAUGUUUGCCAAGUGGACUGGACUGCUCACAACAAAGAUUUGAAUCUCUCCAAAACAAACAAACAAACAAACAAACAAACAAACACUAUUUCUAAACAGGUCCACGACCCCCAUUCCCUAUUAACCUUUGUUUUUCACUACCCCUGGUGGAUGUUAGGAUAGAAAGGAGGUUAAAAACAAACCCAUAAAGUUUUGAAAAAUCUAAGCUUACAAAUGGGUCUCAUGAUAAUUUUUAUAUGCAUUAUCUAUUAUUGUAUCUUGUAUAUAUUCAGACUUUAACUACCCUUUCUCAUCCCUCCUACACACCUCUCUCUGGUCCCUGUUCUUUCCUCAAGUAGAUCUCUCUCUAUUUUAUGUUAGAAAUACAUACAUACAUACAUACAUACAUAAAUACAUACAUACAUUGUCAUAGGUAGAUACAUAUAUGUAGAUACAGAUUCUCCAUAUAAAAGAAAAGGUGAUAUUUGUUCUUCUGAAUCUGGCUUAUUUCCUUUAAUAUAAUAAUCUCCAUUUCCAUCCAUUUUCUUGCAAGUGACAUAAUUUUAUUCUUUUUAACAACUGAAUUAAAUUCCACUUUAGACCACACAUCCUUCAUCUAUUCAUUGCAAAUUGGCGUCUGGGCAGCUUUUAUAUUUUGGUUUAUAAUAGAACAGCAAUAAACAUGGAUGUGCCCGUACUUCUGUGGCGUGUUGACAGAGUCCUUUGGUGUCCAGCAUUGAGAUACCUGGAUCAUAGAGUAGUUCUAUUUUUGGCUCUCAGAGGAAUCUGUAGAGAUCUCCACAGUGUCUUCAUCUGUUCACAGUCACAUCAGCAGUGAGCAGCAUCUCUUGCUCUGCCUUGCAUCUUUUGUCAGCCAUUGUCUUGGUGAUGGCCACCCUGACCGGGGUGAGAUGGGAUCUCGAGGCAGCUUUAAUUUACGUUUUCCUGGUGGCUGUGGAUGUUUAACAUUUUUCCCUUUCAAAAUUUACGACCAUUUGUAUUUACUCUCCUGAGAAGCAUUUGCUCAACCCAUUGGCUCAUCUGUCAGUGAGAUUGUUUGGGGUUUUCGUGUUUGAUUUUUGUCUCAUUCUUUGUCUGAUAUAGAGUUAGCAAAGAUUUUUUUCUCCCAUUCUAUAGGUUGACUAUUAUAUCCUUUUCUGUGCAGAAACUUUUUAAAGCCCAUGCAACCCCACUGGCCAACUCUCGGCAUCACUUUCUGGGCAAUCGGGGUUCUGGGUGAAAAAUGCAUGUUUUUAUUCUUCUAUUAUGGGUGCAUUACUUUUCUGGUGCUGUGAUUUCAACAACAACAACAACAACAACAACAACAAACUCCACCGAAAGCAACUUAAGGAAGAGAGAAUUUAUUUUGACCUAUGUGUCAGAGGGAUAAGAGUCAGUCAUGGCAGAGAAGCCUGGCAGCAAGCAGAGGGCAUGGAUGCCAAACAGGAAUCUGAGCUCAUAGCUCAACCACAAGCACAGAGCACAGAGCAAACUGGAAGCAGCUUGAGGAUUCAAUCUCAAAGUCCACCCCAGUGGUGUACUUGCCCCAGCAAGGCCACAAUGCUUAACCCUGAGCCCACAGCAUCAUCGACCAGGUGAAUCACUGAAGUAUUGAACUGGAGACCUACAUCCGUGCUAGGCAAGUGCUCUACCACCAGGCUACAUUGUACCAGGCUACAUUACAGCUCUUUGCUAUUGGAUCCUGAGAAAGCACUCUACCGGGACUUUCUGGGUUCCCAGUCCAUUCAGGAAAAGCUGACAUCUGGAACCUUUGAGGACUUCUAUAUACUGACAACCUCUGAAUGUACCUUCUGCUGGAUCCCAACCCAGCAGGACAUCUUCCCUCUGUCCCAUAUCAAGACCUUCACAGAGCCAGGUGCUAGCUCUUUUUCCCCUCCAUACAGCAGGCUUUGAGCCUGGGUCCUGUGGAUGCCCUGGGGU